rnacentral:rRNA from 1 species
UACAGAGGGUGCGAGCGUUGUUCGGAAUUACUGGGCGUAAAGGGCGCGUAGGCGGCCAUCUAAGUCAGACGUGAAAUCCCCCGGCUUAACCUGGGAACUGCGUCUGAUACUGGAAGGCUUGAGUAUGGGAGAGGGAUGUAGAAUUCCAGGUGUAGCGGUGAAAUGCGUAGAUAUCUGGAGGAAUACCGGUGGCGAAGGCGGCAUCCUGGACCAUUACUGACGCUGAGGCGGCGAAAAGCUAGGGGAGCAAACGGG